rnacentral:rRNA from 1 species
CCAUAAAACCGUUCUCAGUUCGGAUUGCAGGCUGCAACUCGCCUGCAUGAAGCUGGAAUCGCUAGUAAUCGCGGAUCAGCAUGCCGCGGUGAAUACGUUCCCGGGCCUUGUACACACCGCCCGUCACACCACGAGAGUUUGUAACACCCGAAGUCGGUGAGGUAACCUUUUGGAGCCAGCCGCCUAAGGUGGGACAGAUGAUUGGGGUGAAGUCGUAACAAGGUAGCCGUAUCGGAAGGUGCGGCUGGAUCACCUCCUUUCUAAGGA